rnacentral:rRNA from 1 species
GAGCUCUCAAUCUGUCAAUCCUUCCAGUGUCCGGGCCUGGUGAGAUUUCCCGUGUUGAGUCAAAUUAAGCCGCAGGCUCCACUCCUGGUGGUGCCCUUCCGUCAAUUCCUUUAAGUUUCAGCUUUGCAACCAUACUUCCCCCGGAACCCAAACGCUUUGGCUUCCCGAAAGCUUCCCGCAGAGCCUACAAAUGCAACUCAGCGGAUCGCUAGCUGGCAUCGUUUAUGGUUAGAACUAGGGCGGUAUCUGAUCGCCUUCGAACCUCUAACUUUCGUUCUUGAUUAAUGAAAACACUCUUGGCAAAUGCUUUCGCAGUAGUUAGUCUUCAAACGGUCCAAGAAUUUCACCUCUGUCGUUUGAAUACUAAUGCCCCCAAUUGUCCCUAUUAAUCAUUAACUCGAUUCCCGAAAACCAACAAAAUAGGAACGAGUUCCUAUUCCAUUAUUCCAUGCACGAAUAUUCAAGCCUGAAAAGCCUGCUUUGAGCACUCUAAUUUUUUCAAAGUAAACCUGCCGGCAUCCCAGGACACUCGGUUAAGAGCACCCUGGAACCUCCGGCAAAAACACGGGCAAAUAGGGCAGUAGCGACAAACAUCGAACCGCCCCCUGCCCGCCGAGAUCCAACUACGAGCUUUUUAACCGCAACAACUUUAACAUACGCUAUUGGAGCUGGAAU